rnacentral:lncRNA from 1 species
ACCUCCCUGCUCCGUAUAUUCAUCCUCUGGUGAAAAGAUCGGCCAGCUCGUUGAGUGAAAAAAGUCUUCAAAUCUGCACAGAGAGUCUUGGAUCCGAAACCGGGUCUGAUGGGUUCUCAUCUUAUCCGUCUUCUGAAACUGGUGACAUGGAGGAAGAUAAAGAAGAUCAAGAUCAACGACAUGAACAACAACAGAGCUUUGAAGGUUUUUAUGUCGAAAAAGCACCAAGAAUUUAUACUUCUAAGUACAAGAAAUUGCCAGAAAGAUCUUUUCCUCCUCCAAUUCCUUCUCUGACUCGUCAAGACGGAGCUUCUCU